rnacentral:rRNA from 1 species
AAACUUUACACUGCACGACAGUGCGAUAAGGGAACUCCGAGUGCGAGGGCAUAUAGUCCUCGCUUUUCUGCACCGUAAGGUGGUGCAGGAAUAAGAGCUGGGCAAGACCGGUGCCAGCCGCCGCGGUAACACCGGCAGCUCGAGUGAUGGCCGAUAUUAUUGGGCCUAAAGCGUCCGUAGCUGGUCGCGUAAGUCCGUUGGGAAAUCUGCGCGCUCAACGCGCAGGCGUCCGGCGGAAACUGCGUGACUAGGGACCGAGAGACCCGAGGGGUACGUCUGGGGUAGGAGUGAAAUCCCGUAAUCCUGGACGGACCACCGAUAGCGAAAGCACCUCGGGAGAUCGGAUCCGACAGUGAGGGACGAAAGCUAGGGUCACGAACCGGAUUAGAUACCCGGGUAGUCCUAGCUGUAAACGAUGCCCGUUAGGUGUGGCGCGGACUACGAGUUCGUGCCAUGCCGCAGUGAAGACGAUAAACGGGCCGCCUGGGAAGUACGUCAAGCGAAGGAUGAAAUUUAA